UUUAUAUCAGACCGUCUGAUGAUACACCCAUUCCCGUCCCUGGGCAUUGAGACUCAUGUUGUCAUAACAGUCAUCAAAUUUCAUAAAAAGUUCGAGAUAUCGUAAUGAGGUUUCUUGCAAAUGUUAGCACAGAAAGAGGCACAUGUAUUGUAAGGCACAUGUAUUGUAUCAUAAAUAAUCAAAAGUUUGGCCUUGACCAAGAUAGGGAAGUAACUCGUCCACAGCUGUGAGAGGUCAAUGGAAUGAAACACGUAAAUAUGUCAACAGUACUUCAGUAAAACUCCGGACCAAAUUUAAACAGAUCUUCAGCAUCCUGGGAGUGACUGAGCAUAAUGAAUUAACUAGAUCACAGCAGGUAAGCAGUUGAUGUGACCAUCUUCAUUCCAUCACACAAGAUGAAUGACAAAUUCCACAUCAUAUUACUUUAUGAAGUACACUAUGUGAUCAGAAGUAUCGGGACAUCACUAAAAACAUACAAUUUUCAUAUUAGGCGCAUUGUGCUGCCACCUACUGCAAGAUAUUCCAUAUCAAUACCUCAGUCCUCAUUAGAUAUCAUGAGAGAGCAGACUGGGGCACUCCGAACGUUGUCAGGUGAUUGGGUUUAACUCGUGUCAUACAUCUGUAUGCGAGAUUUCCACACUCCAUAACACUGCUAGGCCCACUGUUUCCAAUGUGAUAGUGAAGUGGAACCUUGAAGGGACACAUACAGCACAAAAGUGUAUAGGCCGACCUUGUCAGUUGGCUGACAGAGACCACAAGACAGUUAAAGAGGGUCAUAAUGUGUAAUAGGUGACAUGCAUCCAGACCAUCACACAGGAAUUUCAAACUGCAUCAGGAUCCACUGGAAGUACUAUAGCAGUUUGGCGGGAGGCGAGGGAAUUUGGAUAUCAUGGUCGCAAGGCUUCUCAUAAGCCACACAUCACACCAGUAAAUGCCGAACAAUGCCUCACUUGGUGAAAGGAGCGCUAACACUGGAUGACUGAACUGUGGAGAAACGUUGUGGAGUGAGGAAUCAUGGUACACAACGUGGCAAUCCGAUACCGGGGUGUGGGUAUGGCGAAAGCCUGGUGAUCAUCACCUGCUAGCAUGUGUAGUGCCAACAGUAAACUUCGGAGGCAGUGGUGGUAUAGUGUGUGUGUUUUUUAAGGAGGAGGCUUGCAUCCCUUGUUGUUUUGCAUGGCACUACAGCAGCACAUGCCUACAUUGGUGUUUUAAGCACUUUUUUGAUUCCCACUGUUGAAGAGCAAUGUGGGGAUGGCGAUUGCAUAUUUCUACAUGAUCGAGCACCUGUUCAUAAAGCAUGGCCUGUGGUGGUGUGGUUACAUGACAGUAACAUACCUGUAAUGGGCUGGCCUGCACAGAGUCCUGACCUGAAUCCUAUAGAACACCUUUGGGGUGAUUUGGAACACCAACUUUGUACCAGGCCUCACCAACUGACAGUAAUACCUCUCCUUAGUGCAGCACUCUGUGAAGAAUGCCAUUCCCCAAGAAACCUUCCAGCACCUGACAGAAAUAUGCCUGCGAGAAUGGAAGCUGUCAUCAGAGCUAUGGGUGGGCCAACACCAUCCAGAAAUCCUGCAUUACCAUGGAGUGUGCCACGAACUAGGAAGUCAUUUUCAGCCAGGUGUCCAGAUACUUUUGAUCACAUAGUGAAUUGUUUUGUACUCCACAAAAGGCCUUAGCAAGCUCACAAAAUAUACCAAGAUUAUUAUUCUUGCUUAGCUCUGCCAUGACAAUCUGUAAUGUUACAAAUGGUUCUCUGUGGAGAACUGCAUGCUAAA